AAGGCCUUAAGUUAACAAAACUAAUAACCUUCAAAGCUAUAAAUAAAGGGCAUCCUUUAGGCCUUG
rnacentral:tRNA from 2 species